UUUGGCACCUUUUUUUUUUUUUUUUUUUUAGAAAAAACUGCUGACAACUAUUAGGUAUUAAUAAUUUUUGGACUUACGUAAUAAGCAAACUUGUUGUCUUUUUAAUUUAGUCAUGGAAUAAUACAUGUUCCAAGCAUUGGUGGGUUUCUUUUUCAUUAGUUGAAGCCCAUUUUUCUCAACAACUUUGCGUAUAUUGCUAAUAUAAGGCAUUUUUCUAGGGUAAUAAACUAAUUUUCCUAUUAGUUUUAUUGUUGCUGUUGACAGUACAUUCUGAUUGUUAGAGUAAAGUUUAACCUUCUCAUAAAGUCAAUUUCUAAAUUCCUUUUUCUACAUCCUGAAUAGAAUAUUAUGUUCUAUCCCUAAACAGAUAUUUAACGAGGAAACAAAAUCUCCUCUGCUUUGGCUAUCUAUUUUUAAACUGUUUGUGGAGUUUUUCUGUAAAUAAUUAAACAUAAUUUAUUUUCUUGGUCCUUUCCCAAACUGAAGUAUAGUUUUUCUCCCCAGAGAUCAUAUUGAAGCUUUUGGUAUUUCUUUGUUUCUCUCAUAUUACUUAACUGUUGAGCAUAAUGAAUAAUUUAAAAAUAUGAUUUUCAAAUUACUUCUCAUUUGCAUUGGCUGAGACAGAUAGGAAGGCAAAUGUAGCCAAGUCACACAGCCAGAGGCAUGUAUAGCUUGACGUAUAGCAAUGAAUUUCCAAAAUGUAAAAUGUAGGCUUCUGAUUCCAAAAGGGUAUGAUUAUGCAGUAAGAACCACAAAAUGCAUCGAGCAGAGUCGCAGGAUAGAUUAUUCCACAACUGACUCCUCUGCCACCGGCAUGUUUAAAUAGUUAUUUUGAGUUGAUAAAAAUAAUAAAUUAGCAUAGCAUUACACAUUUUUUAUUCUUCUAUUCAUUAGCAAUUCUCCUUCAUUUUAAGAUGAGCAGGUUAUAAUAAAGGUGCUCCGUAUAGAUUUCAUUCUGAUCUUUCUAGUUAUUAGAAGAGAAAGAGGAAGAAAGCCAGUUGGUCUAGUCGUUAAGGCACUAGGCUAAAAGCCAGCUGACUAAGUUCUAGUCCUGCUUUAGGCAUGAAUUGCUUUAGGCUGGGUGACAUUAGGCCAGUUAUACUCUCUCAACCCACUCACCUCACAAGGCUGUUGUUGACCGGAAAAUAGGAAGAGGAAGGAGUAUUAGGUAUGUUUGCCAUUCUUGAGUUAUUUAUAAAAAUCCAAAAGGCAGGGUAAAGUUUAAAUAAUUUAUAAAUCUAUAAGUAGAAAGUCGUAUUUUUCUAUUUGAAAAUUAAAUUAAAUUAAAUUCAAUAGUUAUUGUAGUAUCACUACCAAUACCAUUUUGUGAUGUAUCUACUAUACUAAACCAAUAUGUAAUGACUAAGUUUGCACAAUUUUUUGUAUAAAGCAAAUCAUAGGAGUAUAACUAUUAAGAAAUAUUUAUUUUCAGUACCAGAAUGCCAGGAUAUUAAAAUGAAUGAGAAUGUUUUACGUGUUCUAACAUAAAUGAACAUCUUUCAGUAAAACACUGACAGUAGGGCGGAAAUCAAACAUAAUUAAUUUUCAGGAACAUUUUUCAGAAGUGAUUUUUUUUUUCUUUUAAAAGGAAAGAAGCUAAAAACCGGAAAUUCCCAAAACAAGAUACCUGGGAAUGGACAGACAUAAUAUUGGCAAAAUCAUGCAGCAGGAGGAUGAACAGCCAAUUUAUUAAGUCUUUACUCCAAUCUAUUUCUGCAUAACUGUAAAAUAGCAAACCCCCUCGUCCCAAGGCAUUUAGUAGUGGACUGCUGCACACAGUAUUACUUCUAAAGAGAAUCCCAUUUGACAAUCUUCUUCAGAUGACUGGCAAGUGAUCAGUUAUCUGCUGACAGAAGAACUAAAGUCAUCUGGUAUACGUGACAGCUGAACAUCCUGUGGGGUUUUUGUUGUAUGUGCAGCACUAUAUGUCUAUCAAAGUGAACUUCAUGGCUGUAUGUCUGCAUUAAGAGAACAAAACAUAAUUUUCACUUCAAGUGAUGGUGAGAAUGUACCUAUAUGACACGUAAACUCUUUGUGGUGAUAAAACAUUUAACACCUUCCAGAUUAUUGGUGUAAUGAUAUAAUGCCAAGGAUAUCCUCCAAUCUGAAACGCGCUCUCGAGGGAUGAGACUUCAAAAAGAAGAUCUGGAGUGUCUGCGAAAAUAAGUGAAUAUUAAUAAAUUAUCAUUUUACUUGUUCUUCCGCUUGUCAAUCAAAAUAAAACUUGAAUUUGCACUGCAUGCAGAAAAAUUGUUCUCUAGUUUAUAAUACAGUGAUGAUUACAAACCAUGAUACUUUGCAUUCAGUUAGAAAAACUUUAAAUGAAUAUCUGAGUAACUUAAUGAACAGCACAAGGAAUCAAUUUCCCUUAAGUAUUAUAAAGAAAUACUAAAAAUUACACAGCAAUAUAAAAUUAUUUAUUGGAAAAGGAGUUAUGAUAUCUGGACAUAUGUGCACUAUAGCCACCAACUAAGUUAAUUAUAGAUCAUAUCUGAAACAUUUUCAUCACAUUAUUCUAUUGCUUCUACAUUUUGGGGGGAAGUCAUGACAGCUAAAUCUAUAUAAAACUGUUCUAUAUUCAUGUGAAGGUUUUCUUCAUUGAUUUUAAUUAUGACAAUUUUGGAUAACCCAAAGUCUGUGGUCAAAAAUGUUAGAAAUGUUUUGCCAAGCACAGAGCAAUAUUUCCAUUAAUAAUAAAAGUUUAUAUUUGAAUGCAAAAAUAAUCUGGCUUAAUAAAAAUGUAAAUAUAAGUAAAA